AGCAGACUCCCCACUCACUGAGCAAGGAGCCUAAUUUGGGGCUCGAUACCACCACCCAUGAGAUCAUGACCUGAGCCCAAAUCAAGAGUUGGAUGCUGAACCAACUGAACCACCCAGGUGCCCCAGAUAAUGGAAAAGUGUUCUCAAAAUGACUAGUACUGAUGAUCACACAACAAUGUCAAUGCAGUUAAUAUCACUGAAAUGUACUCUUAAAAAUGGUUAAAAUGGCAAACUUUAUGUUACAUAUAUUUCAUUGUGACAAAAAAGGGUUAUACCAAUUUACCCUACUUCCCCCUUUCAGGACUGAUAGGUUUGGUGGCUGUGUUUCGGGGAUCUCACUGAUAAAUCUGUCUUGCUUGAAAUUCCUUUUCUGAAAUGAGAAAUCUAUGAACAUUUAUUAAACAUGAGUCAGACCCCAUCACUCACUUCCAUCCAGGUGUGAGAGAUGGAAGAAACACAGGCAAAAAUGUUAAGCAUGAACAAGGAGCCGUGGUGGUGGGUGUGCACGGUUAUGGGAGUGGAAGGAGGGACACGAUAGGAAGGCCUGCCCUAAGAGUAAAUAUCAUUCCAUCGCUAGAAUUUCUACUACCACAGGAGCAAAUGUCAACGCCUCAUUUGAGCGGAGCAGCUUUGGAGUACACUAAUGUGCAAAAUCGUAGAGGAGAGAAAAGAUCUCAUGGGCAUCUGUGUACAUCAGGGCUUGAAAAUAUAUCACUGGUUUUUUUUUUUUUUUGGCUAUUGCCUUUUCUUUAAGGAGAGAUCAAGGAAAGAGACUGACUUUCAUGUCUCCAGGGUUUUUUAGAAAUGUUAGAGAAUCUUCAUUUAAUGCAGCAACUUGUCUUAUUUUUAAUCCUUAUUUUAUGUCCUUGAAUAAAAAAUAUCUACACUGUUUUCA
rnacentral:lncRNA from 12 species